CAAAAGCGGAGGAAAAGAAACCAACCGGGAUUGCCUUAGUAACGGCGAGUGAAGCGGCAAAAGCUCAAAUUUGAAAUCUGGUACCUUCGGUGCCCGAGUUGUAAUUUGGAGAGGGCAACUUUGGGGCCGUUCCUUGUCUAUGUUCCUUGGAACAGGACGUCAUAGAGGGUGAGAAUCCCGUGUGGCGAGGAGUGCGGUUCUUUGUAAAGUGCCUUCGAAGAGUCGAGUUGUUUGGGAAUGCAGCUCUAAGUGGGUGGUAAAUUCCAUCUAAAGCUAAAUAUUGGCGAGAGACCGAUAGCGAACAAGUACAGUGAUGGAAAGAUGAAAAGAACUUUGAAAAGAGAGUGAAAAAGUACGUGAAAUUGUUGAAAGGGAAGGGCAUUUGAUCAGACAUGGUGUUUUGUGCCCUCUGCUCCUUGUGGGUAGGGGAAUCUCGCAUUUCACUGGGCCAGCAUCAGUUUUGGUGGCAGGAUAAAUCCAUAGGAAUGUAGCUUGCCUCGGUAAGUAUUAUAGCCUGUGGGAAUACUGCCAGCUGGGACUGAGGACUGCGACGUAAGUCAAGGAUGCUGGCAUAAUGGUUAUAUGCCGCCCGUCUUAA
rnacentral:rRNA from 1 species